rnacentral:rRNA from 1 species
UCCGUAGGGUGCGAGCGUUAAGCGGAAUUACUGGGCGUAAAGCGUGUGCAGGCGGUUCGCCAAGUCAGGUGUGAAAUCCCCGGGCUUAACCUGGGAAUCGCGCUUGAAACUAGCGGGCUUGAGUGUGGCAGAGGGGGGUGGAAUUCCACGUGUAGCAGUGAAAUGCGUAGAGAUGUGGAGGAACACCGAUGGCGAAGGCAGCCCCCUGGGUCAACACUGACGCUCAUGCACGAAAGCGUGGGGAGCAAACAGG